CAAUAUCUCCGCAUAUUUUCAAUAUAUUCGUUUUUGUAUUAUCAUGACAAGGACUCUUAUUUAUUGGCAAUUUUGAAACAAAUUCUAAACGAGGCUUAAUGUGGCAAACAUAUAAAACAUCAUUUCACAUUUUCAGUAUCUUCCUAAUGUAAUAAUUAAAAACAAAUGCAAUCUAUUUGGCCUGUUAAAGUAAACUCCGAACACUGUGUGAUAUUGAACCGGACUAACAAAUGUACCACAAUCACAUGCCAGAUUACAUGUAAGAUUUUUUAUCGCCUUUGGCCUAUCUUUUAUACUCGCCAUUAUAGGAUUGAGGUGUACUAAUCUAGUCGUUGCGUUUACAACACCUUGAGAUAAGAUCUAUCUGCGAAUCUGUAAAUGUAUACAUAAGUAUAUUCACGAUUGUCUUGAUAUUCCAAGUAAUUUUAGCCAUAUUAUGAACAAUGGUUCUUUAACGAAUAAA
rnacentral:sRNA from 1 species